UACGGAGGGUGCAAGCGUUAUCCGGAUUCACUGGGUUUAAAGGGUGCGUAGGUGGGUUUGUAAGUCAGUGGUGAAAUCUCCAAGCUUAACUUGGAACUGCCGUUGAUACUAUAAAUCUUGAAUGUUGUGGAGGUGAGCGGAAUAUGUCAUGUAGCGGUGAAAUGCUUAGAUAUGACAUAGAACACCAAUUGCGAAGGCAGCUCACUACACAAAGAUUGACACUGAGGCACGAAAAGCGUGGGGAUCAAACAGG
rnacentral:rRNA from 1 species